rnacentral:rRNA from 1 species
UGCCAGCUGCCGCGGUAAUACGGAGGGUGCAAGCGUUAAUCGGAAUUACUGGGCGUAAAGCGCGCGUAGGCGGCUAUUUAAGUCGGAUGUGAAAGCCCUGGGCUUAACCUGGGAACUGCAUCCAAAACUGUGGAUCUUGAAUACCUGAGGGGUUGAUGGAAUUCCAGGUGUAGGAGUGAAAUCCGUAGAUAUCUGGAGGAACACCGGUGGCGAAGGCGGUCAACUGGCAGAGUAUUGACGCUGAGGUGCGAAAGCGUGGGGAGCAAACAGGAUUAGAUA